rnacentral:rRNA from 1 species
UACGUAGGGUGCGAGCGUUGUCCGGAAUUACUGGGCGUAAAGAGCUCGUAGGUGGUUUGUCGCGUUGUUCGUGAAAACUCACAGCUUAACUGUGGGCGUGCGGGCGAUACGGGCAGACUGGAGUACUGCAGGGGAGACUGGAAUUCCUGGUGUAGCGGUGAAAUGCGCAGAUAUCAGGAGGAACACCGGUGGCGAAGGCGGCAUCCUGGACCAACACUGACGCUGAGGAGCGAAAGCCAGGGGAGCAAACGGG